ACACAAGAACAGCCCAGAACUUGCAUGGUACACCACCUGUCCUGGCUCAAGCCUGGAUCCAUAGCACCUCUCAGCUCCAAUCUUAGGUCUCAACCAAAGCCAGGCCCAGUUUGUGCAGUCAGACCAUUGGGCCCCACUUUUGGCUUCUUUCUGGAACAAAAUGGGCCUUCUACUUGGCAGAUGAAGAGAAUGACUUUAUGCAGUAUGGGUAUGCAUGAGUGUCCCAGGGCCUCCUGAUAUCAAACAGGUAAAACUCUACAAUGCAGAUCAAAGGUUUUCCCUAAGGGUGGUCUCAAAAUCCACAAACACUGAAAUGGAACCUGUUUCCCUUUCCCUCCCCCUUGAUAGGAUUAAGGAAUCUGUAAAGGGCUGGAGUAGAUGACUUUCAACUGAGGUUUCCUGAGGAGCUUCUACUAAACUAAGCAACUAGGAAAGCCAGAGGUUAGGUUGGGCUAGACUGGGAAGUGCCACGAAGACCUCUUUCUAGAAAUAGGACUGCAUAAAAUGAGGCCAAAGGAGAAAGAAAACCCAAGGCAUAUUAUUUAAAGAUGAUUUCAAAAAUGAGAUUAAAAAAGAAAAAAGAAAACAUCACUUCACCCACUAGAUCUCUAUAAGCAAUGUUCCUUUAAAAAAUACCUACUCUUGUAACUAAGGAUGAACUUGUGUAUAAUGAGAAUCUGCUUAAUCAUUAAUUUUAACCACAAUUUUUGUUUACUGACCCAACUAUGCUGUAAUUGUUUGGUGGCCUAAUUACUUUAACCAGCAGUCAAUGUUUUCAUCAGAACCUGUAUGUGCAAUAAAAAUAAAAACCAACAAAACAAAAGUG